UUUUUUUUUUUUUUUUUUGAUACGGAGUUUUGCUCUCAUCACCCAGACUGUGGAGUGCAAUGGCACAAUCUCAGCUCACUGCAACCUCCGCCUCCAAAGUUCAAGCGAUUCUCCUGCCUCAGCCUCCUGAGUUGCUGGGAUUACAGGAAUGCGCCAUCACGCCCAGCUAAUUUUUUGUAUUUUUAGUAGAGAUGGGGUUUCACCAUUUUGGCGGGGCUGGUCUUGAACUCCUGACAUCAGGUGAUCUGCCCAUCUUGGCCUCCCAAAGUGCUGAGAUUACAGGUGUGAAACACUGUGCCCGGCCGGAUCUUUUUAUUUUUAGCUUUGGUAAUUACAUUUCACCAAUUCUGUGGUUUCACAAGGUGCCCAGGCAAUUUAUAUGCCAAUUAGUGAUUGAGAAACAUUGGUAUAGCACAGGGUGGCAAUAAGGUGCGUAAUUCUAUGCCCCCCCACCCUUUUUUUUGAGACACAGUCUUGCUCUGUCACCAGGCUGGAGUGCAGUGCUGCCAUCUUGCUCACUGCAACCUCCACCUCUUGGGUUCAAGUGAUUCUCCUGCCUCAGCCUCCUGAGUAGCUGGGACUACAGGUGUGCACCACCACGCCCUGCUAAUUUUUGUAUUUUUAGUAGAGACGGGGUUUCACCAUGUUGGCCAGGAUGGUCUUGAUCUCUUGACCUCGUGAUCCGCCCGCCUUGGCCUCCCAAAGUGCUGGGAUUACAGGCGUGAGCCACUGCACCCGGCCAAUUCUACCCCCUUUUAAUGGUCUAGAACAGAGAUUCUCAACCUCAGUACUUAAUGGCAGUUUGGGCCAGAUCAUUCUUUGCUGUGGUGACUGUUCCUGUGUAUUAUUAUAUUUAGCCACAUCUCUGGCCUCUACCACAACUGUGAUAACCAAAGUGUCUGUAGACAUUGCCAAAUGUCCCUGAGGGACAAAACAGUUCCCAGCUAAGAACCACUGGUUAGCAGGACAGCCUGUUGUAGUCCCAGCUACUUGGGAGGCUGAGGCACAAGAAUCGCUUGAACCCAGGAGGCAGAGGUUGUAGUGACCUGAGAUCAUGCCACUGCACUCCAGUCCAGGUGACAAAGUGAGACUUCAUCUCAGGGAAAAAAAAAAAAUUUUUUUUUCUUCCACAGCCAAAUUUCUGCAUUAUCACUUACCCAAAAGUCCUAGCUUAUGGGCUACUCUGACUUCAGAUGGGUCCAGUAGUUGAUUAGUCCAAAUACCAACCAUACAUGAUUUCAAUAUUAAGAUUAUUUUAGCUACCUAGGGAUUCCGAAUUCCCCAAAUCUCUGAAAUUGCUUGUAAUAAGUAUCUACAGAAUUGUGUUAAUAGUCAUCUUAGUAAAAGGCAGUACUGAUACAGUACUGUACUAUAUGUUUAGUAAAUCUUUGAUUAACAAGUGCACAUAGGUAUAAUUCUUUGUAUUUUUGGAAAAAUAGGCAAUCUGAGAAAAAUAAAUAUUGGAGGUUUAAACUAGUAAAGCUGUCUUUGGCCUGUGGCAAGAAGUAGAGACGACCCUAAAGAAAAUGGUGGAAGAUUCUCAGGCUCUACCUGUCCCCAGAGACUGCUUUAGACAAUUGGUGGCGGGGGAGAACUUUUGGAAUCUGUUUAAUAUGCUGCCUAGGUGAUUCAAGCAGCUAGGGUUGGAAAUGACUUGUUUUUGCCCUGUUUGGGUUCUCUUUACUCCCUUCAAACUCUUAUAGUAAUUGGUAUUAAAUGAAUAUUCUACAAAAGCACCCUAAUAGUCUGACUCUGUCUACUCAAGGAUAUAUGGCUCCCACAAUUCUCUGCUCCUGCAUUUGCCCUGGGUAAGGAGCACUAGAUGCAAACCCAUGUCUCAGGCAAAGAUACAGCUCCAGCAGUCCUCUCCUCUCUCUAUUGCAUCUAUUUUCUUUCUCUACUAAAUCAUUUCCAAAAGCAUAAUAAGCAUGUUAUUAAAAAAUCUUUUGAUCCUAUAUCGCUUGCUAGUGAUUAUUUUACUGCUCCACUUUAUAAAAGCAAAACUCAAGAAUUUUCUAAACUUCCCCCAGUUUAUUACCCCCUCCUUUUUUUCACCAACUUGUUUUAUUAGGAAAAAAAAAUUCAAACAGAAAAGUUGAAAGACUUUCCCACAUAAAAUACUUCCCUAAUUUAACAUCAAGUCCUUAUUUCACAUUUUUCCAUGUGUCUCUUUUUUAAAUAGCUACCCUCAUCCCCCGAAUAGGAUUCAAUUAAGAUUCUUACUUUCUGGAAAUACUAGGCCUGUUGUCUUCUUGAGUUUUUCUUUGUAGUGUCAUUAAUUUUAACUUCUAAUAUCCCUUUGAACUUCCUGUAAACUGAAAGGUCUAAAGUUUUUGUAAGUUUCAGGUUAAACUUGUGCAGGAGUGCAAGGUGAUGCUACGGUCUCCAUAUUGCAUCACACAGUUACGGCUUUUCCAGGCUAAGUUUGGACACUUGGUUAGGUCAUCUGAUAGGUGAUUAGACUUUGUCUCCACUCCGUUACUCUUAGUAAAAUGCAGCAAAGAUUUCCACUUUGUUUAAUCAGCAGCCAGCAUUUGACCUUGAAGCACUCUUCAGUUGGCUUGCAAAAUACUACACUUGCUUGAUGUUUCUCCUUUACUGGCUGCUCCUUCUCAGUCUGUCGUUUGCUGCUGGCCCAAUCCUGAUUUCCCUGAAUUUUGCUAAAACAUAAGUGUGCCCCCGAGCUCGACCUUGGGCUGCGUGCCUCCUCUCGUAGUACUCAUCUUGGUGAUCUCAUCUCAUCACAUAAGGACAUCAGAUUAUAUUAACCUCUCCAUGUGACAUCUUCAGUUAGGUAUCUAGUAGACACCUCGAAAUUUAUGUCUAAAACUUAUUUUUGCCUCUGAAAUUUUUCCUCUCAGUCAUCCUCAAUCACUUAAUGGCCACUCCAUUCUUUGUUUCAAGGCAGAAACGGUCUUGGACUCCUCACAUCCUUCAUCUAAUCUUAGUUCCACCUAAAAUGUUAACAUCUCUACUGCCAUUACCCUAAUCCAAGACACUAUCAUAGUUUGAUUAUUUCCGUGGUUUCUUAACCGGUCUUUGUUUUGCCUCAUUUUGUCUCCUCUUACCCAUCCUAUUCUCUCAUAGCAACCAGACUGAUCCUUUAAAACUCUUAAGUCUUGUUUAGAUGGCUUCCUACCUAAGUAAAAGAAACUUCACAAAGGUCUGUGGAGCCCUAAAUUACCUGCACUCAACCCCACCUCAUUCAAUUCCUAUUGAAUUCCUCCUGCUCACUCUACCUUGUCCACAUUGGCCACCUUUGCUCUUCUUCCAGCGUAGCUAGCCGUAGGAUUUUUGUUAGUGCUAGUGUCUGCCUAGCAUGCUCUUCUCCCACAAAACUUCAUGGAAAAUUUUUUCCUCACUCGACAUUUUGCACAAAUGUCAUCUCAAUGAGGCCCGCUCUGACCACUCUGUUUAAAAUUGCAGCCUGAACAUCCUGGUGCUCUGCCCUGCAUUUGUUUGUUUUACUCCCUCUGCUAAAUGCAAUGAAGGCAGGGAUCUUUGCUCACUGGCAUACAGUGCCUGGCACAUGGCACAUGCUUGGUAUUUUUUGAAUGAAUUUCACCCUACUUCAAUUCAGGGUUUUCAGAUCAGUAUUUCUUAAAUGAAAGAUUUAGUAAAGCAGAAUACUUCCUUUUUAAGAUAUUUUGGUAGAGGUUUCCUGAAUUACAGAAUGGACACAGAAUUGAACUGACAUUUCAUAGGCUGUCUUGAGGGUUUUGUGCUCCAUUAAUGAUUACCACAAAGGAGCUUCAUGUUUUAAUUUACUCUUUUGUGUAUUCAUUGUGAAAAUGGGGCAGUUUUCGACUGGGCAUGGUGGCUCAUGCCUGUAAUCCCAGCACU
rnacentral:lncRNA from 1 species